rnacentral:misc_RNA from 1 species
UCCAGCUUAUCACUGGCAGUCUCUUUAAUGUUCCCGACUCUACUCGCUGGUAACUAAAGAUAAGGGUUGCGCUCGUUACGGGACUUAACCCAACAUCUCACGACACGAGCUGACGACAGCCAUGCAGCACCUGUCUCUUGGUUCCUUUCGGCACACCCGCAUCUCUGCAAGCUCCCAAGGAUGUCAAGGGUAGGUAAGGUUUUUCGCGUUGCAUCGAAUUAAACCACAUGCUCCACCGCUUGUGCAGGCCCCCGUCAAUUCCUUUGAGUUUUAGCCUUGCGGCCGUACUCCCCAGGCGGAGAACUUAUCGCGUUUGCUUCGACACUAUCAGGCCUUUUGCCUCAUAACAUCUAGUUCUCAUCGUUUACAGCAUGGACUAC